CCACUCGUUUUGGUGCUGCCAAUGGGAGGUUAGACUCGCAACAGAUAGGUGACAUAAACGCCGGAUCAUUAUUUACAAAAUCGUGCAUUAAUCAUUUUACUAUUUUGUUACUUCUUUCCUUCAAUCAAUAUGAAAUCAUUAAUUAGUCUUAAUUUAGGACGAUUACUGUCUGUAAAUAAUAGGAGGCUCUUGUCGGAUUAUUCAAGAGUAUUCUCAAAGUGUCAUUAUUCUUCAGACAGUGUUGUCAAUCAAAAACGAGAGAAAUCUCGGAUGUUUACGUAUUUCCGAACAAAAAUGAAGGCCUGCGGGCCGAUUACAGUGGCUGAGUACAUGAAGGAGGCCUUGACACAUCCCACAGAAGGAUAUUAUAUGAAGAAGGAUGUUUUCGGGAGCCAGGGGGACUUCAUAACCUCCCCAGAGAUUUCACAAUUAUUUGGAGAAAUGAUUGGCAUCUGGGUUCUAAGUGAAUGGAGAAAAAUUAGUAGAGAUCCCCUUCAGCUAGUGGAGCUGGGCCCAGGUCGCGGGAGCCUCAGCAGAGACAUCCUCAAGGUUUUUAAACAAUUCAGAGUUGGUGACAAAAUAUCUAUUCAUCUAGUAGAAGUCAGCCCAGUACUGUCUGAAAUUCAAGCGAAAAAUUUAUGUAUUUCCUCGAGAGAAGUGGACGCAACUGGAAAUCAGAAAUAUUAUAGAGAGGGAGAAACCCAAGAUGGGAACGCAGUCUUCUGGUACUACUCUGUGGAAGAUGUCCCUCGGAAGUUCAGUGUCUUCAUAGCACACGAAUUUUUCGAUGCUCUCCCCAUUCACAAAUUUCAUAACAACAAUGGGAACUGGAGCGAGAUAUUUAUUGAUAUUGACCCUAGUGGAGAGAUGUUGAGAUACGUGACAUCGAAAGGUCCUACAUUGGCUAGUAAAUUAUUCAUAGAUGAACAGGAGAGAAGGGGCCAUGUUGAGGUGAGUCCCCAGACCCUCUCGAUCACCGAUUACUUGGCAACAUUUCUGCAAGAGUGCGGUGGAUUCUGUCUGAUCGCUGACUAUGGCCACAGUGGAGAGAAGACAGAUACAUUCAGAGCUUUCAAAAGCCAUGAGCAACGAGACCCACUGGAGACUCCUGGAGAUGUAGACCUCACUGCCGACGUAGACUUCUCCAGAAUAUCAAAAAUAGCGACCAAAGACAACAGGACAAUAGUGUUCGGCCCAGUGGAGCAACGAGAAUUUUUGUUACAACUUGGAAUUGAUGUUCGAUUGAAAAUGCUUCUACAAAGGAUUUCAGAGGAGGAUAAAAAGGAAUUGGAGUCUGGUUAUCAUAUGAUUAUUGAUGAGGACAAAAUGGGAAAAUGCUUCAAGAUGUUGGCAAUAUUUCCAGCUAUUUUGAAAGAACAUUUAACUGUGUAUCCUGUGAGUGGAUUUAUUAGAACGGAAAAUCCACCGACAACUGCAAAAACUCAGUGAUAAUUGAGGAGUGUAAUUACAGUUGGGACGGUUAUGAGUUUAUUAUGAGAAACUCUAUUCAAGGAUUGUCGAUGGGUGCUUCUUACGCCCCUGGAGGGCCAGUGCGCGCGCAGCUGCCCCCUCCACCCCUGCGCAUUAAUACGCAAUGGAAUAGUACAAUAGUAUAGGACCACAGUGCAGUGCUUCAUCGAAGAUG